UCGGGAAUUUUGGGCAAUGGGCGAAAGUCUGACGGAGCGACGCCGCGUGUGGGAUGAAGGCCUUCGGGUUGUAAACCACUGUCGGGGGGAGCAAAUUUGAGCGAUCCCCGGAGGAAGCACAGGCUAAAUUCGUGCCAGCAGCCGCGGUAAUACGAAUUGUGCGAACGUUAUUCGGAAUCACUGGGCUUAAAGGGUGCGUAGGCGGCCAUGAAGGUCUGAUGUGAAAUCCCACGGCUCAACCGUGGAAUUGCGUUGGAAACCACAUGGCUUGAGUAGGACAGAGGUGAGCGGAACUGAUGGUGGAGCGGUGAAAUGCGUUGAUAUCAUCAGGAACACCGGUGGCGAAAGCGGCUCACUGGGUCCUAACUGACGCUGAGGCACGAAAGCCAGGGGAGCAAACGGGAUUAGAUACCCCAGUAGUCCCUGAGCGGGCUGGCAAGGCGCAU
rnacentral:rRNA from 1 species